CAGCAGCCGCGGUAAUACGUAGGGUGCGAGCGUUAAUCGGAAUUACUGGGCGUAAAGCGUGCGCAGGCGGUUUGUUAAGACAGAUGUGAAAUCCCCGGGCUUAACCUGGGAACUGCAUUUGUGACUGGCCGGCUAGAGUAUGGCAGAGGGAGGUGGAAUUCCACGUGUAGCAGUGAAAUGCGUAGAUAUGUGGAGGAACACCGAUGGCGAAGGCAGCCUCCUGGGCCAAUACUGACGCUCAUGCACGAAAGCGUGGGGAGCAGACAGGAUUAGAUACCCGUGUAGUCCCUGUCUCUUAUAA
rnacentral:rRNA from 1 species